rnacentral:misc_RNA from 1 species
CAGUAUUAUCGGGGAGUUUGGCAAGUCGAUGCGUGCAAGCGCUCUGCUUCCGGCUCUAUCUGAUUCUACCCAUGUUUUUUGCGUACCUCUGUUUCCUCGGCAGGCUUGCCUGCCAGUAGGACAACCAUCAACCCAUUGUAAUAGCAGUCAGCGUCAGAAAAACCUAAUAAUUACAACUUUCAACAACGGAUCUCUUGGUUCU